CAGUCGCCGCGGUAAAACGUAGGUGGCAAGCGUUGUCCGGAAUUAUUGGGCGUAAAGGGCUCGCAGGCGGUUUCUUAAGUCUGAUGUGAAAGCCCCCGGCUCAACCGGGGAGGGUCAUUGGAAACUGGGAAACUUGAGUGCAGAAGAGGAGAGUGGAAUUCCACGUGUAGCGGUGAAAUGCGUAGAGAUGUGGAGGAACACCAGUGGCGAAGGCGACUCUCUGGUCUGUAACUGGCGCUGAGGAGCGAAAGCGUGGGGAGCGAACAGGAUUAGAUACCCCAGUAGUCCCUGUCUCUUAUAC
rnacentral:rRNA from 1 species